AUAAGAAGGCUUGGAAGAGAAAGAAAAAGGGACCUUUUGACAGACGAACGAAAGCAUUACAGUGGAGAAGAUAGCGAAUACGACGGAUUCGAAGACGGCGAGAUUCAAGGGUAGCCACCAUUGAAGAUCAAACUCUCCUAAUUCUUUGUAAUGUCUAAUCUUUACUUUAUGAAUUCUUUAAGUACUAUGAGAGGCUAAACCCCCU
rnacentral:lncRNA from 1 species